rnacentral:rRNA from 1 species
UACGUAGGGGACAAGCGUUGUUCGGAAUUACUGGGCGUAAAGGGCUCGUAGGCGGCCAACUAAGUCAGACGUGAAAUCCCUCGGCUUAACCGGGGAACUGCAUCUGAUACUGGAUGGCUUGAGUUCGGGAGAGGGAUGCGGAAUUCCAGGUGUAGCGGUGAAAUGCGUAGAUAUCUGGAGGAACACCGGUGGCGAAGGCGGCAUCCUGGACCGACACUGACGCUGAGGAGCGAAAGCCAGGGGAGCAAACGGG